CUCUAUGGGGCUGGACCCCCUGAUCGGGGGCUGAGCUCUCCUUUAUGGGGUCCCAGUCCCUGCUGUGGGGUUGGACCCCCUGCCACGGUGCUGAGCCCUCGUCUGUGGGGCUGAGCCCUCAUCUGUGGGGCUGAGCUCUCAUCUGUGGGGCUGAGCCCUUCUCUGUGGGGCUGAGCCUUUCUCCAUGGGGCUGAGCCCCACUGCUGUGGGCAACGUGGGACCGGCUCCCUCUCCAUGGAGCCGAGUCCCCGCUAUGGGGCCGAGCCCUUCUCCAUGGGGCCGGGUCCCCGCUAUGGGGCCGGGUCCCCGCUAUGGGGCCGAGUCCCUGCUAUGGGGCCGAGUCCCCGCUAUGGGGCCGAGUCCCCGCUAUGGGGCCGAGCCCCUCUCCAUGGGGCCGAGCCCCUCUCCAUGGGGCCGAGUCCCCGCUAUGGGGCCGAGCCCCCGCUAUGGGGCCACAGCCCCGUCCCUGGGGGCCGCGGGUGCCCCCCGGGCUCCCCCGGCCCCCCGGCCUGACCUCCUUCUCUCCCCAGCUACCGCCCGGCGCUGCCGACGGCCCAGCUGGGCCCACUUAUGGGGCUGGAGCCCCCCGAGCGCCGCCGCUUCCUGGGGGGGCUGCCCCUCACCUUCACCGGGCCCGACCGCGGCGCCAUCGACUGCCGGCAGAGCCUGGCGGCCCUGCCCCACAUCUGAGCCACCGCGACCCACGGCAGCCUCGGCACGGCCGUGGGCACAGGGAGGGACCCGUGGGGCGCGGAUCUGCCCCACGGCCGCUGCCCCAUAACCUUCUCUCCCCCCUCAGCAGCCACAGGAGGGGGGAUUUGGGGUGGGGACCGACGU
rnacentral:lncRNA from 1 species